UAAUGCUUACAUCAUAGCGUCAAUGCAUUGGAUGCCAUUAUAACUCCACAGUUAAGCGCGCUCAAACUAGAGUAGUAAUGGGAUGGGUGACCACCCGAGAAGUCCUAGUGUUUUACAUGCC
rfam:Picea glauca, whole genome shotgun sequence.